ACCUGGGUGGCUCAAUUAGUUGAGUGUCUGACUUCGGCUCAGGGCAUGAUCUCAUGGCUUGGCUCGUGAGUUCGAGCCCCACAUCAGGUU
rnacentral:tRNA from 1 species